GACGAACGCUGGCGGCGUGCUUAACACAUGCAAGUCGAGCGACGCUCUUCCUUCGGGGAGAUGACGGAGCGGCGAACGGGUGAGUAACACGUGGGCAACCUGCCCCUAGCUCUGGGACAACACCGGGAAACCGGUGCUAAUACCGGAUACGACAUCGAGCGGCAUCUCUCGAUGUGGAAAGUUUUUUCGGCUAGGGAUGGGCCCGCGGCCUAUCAGCUUGUUGGUGGGGUAAUGGCCCACCAAGGCGACGACGGGUAGCCGGCCUGAGAGGGCGACCGGCCACACUGGGACUGAGACACGGCCCAGACUCCUACGGGAGGCAGCAGUGGGGAAGAUUGCGCAAUGGGCGAAAGCCUGACGCAGCGACGCCGCGUGAGGGAUGACGGCCUUCGGGUUGUAAACCUCUUUCAGCAGGGACGAAUUCAGACGGUACCUGCAGAAGAAGCACCGGCCAACUACGUG
rnacentral:rRNA from 1 species